UACGAAAGGUCCAAGCGUUACUCGGAAUUACUGGGCGUAAAGCGCACGUAGGCGGCUUUCUAAGUCGGGGGUGAAAUCCUGGAGCUCAACUCCAGAACUGCCUUCGAUACUGGAGAGCUCGAGUCCGGGAGAGGUGAGUGGAACUGCGAGUGUAGAGGUGAAAUUCGUAGAUAUUCGCAAGAACACCAGUGGCGAAGGCGGCUCACUGGCCCGGUACUGACGCUGAGGUGCGAAAGCGUGGGGAGCAAAGCAGG
rnacentral:rRNA from 1 species